CCAUGCACGUACAAGUUCAAGCUAAAUUAGCAACACCGCGAAAGGCUCAUUAAAAACUCAUAAUUUAAAUGAGAAAACAAUAGGAUAACUCUGGUAAUUCUGGAGCUAAUACUAUAUAAUAGAGUUAAUCAAAGGGGGAAAAAAGAUUGACUACGAUACCUAUAAGGGUACAUCAUAUAAAUAUGUAGCUUUAUCAUACUAGUUGGUAGCAUAGGGGGCUACCAAGGUAUUGACAGGUAACGGGGAAUUGGGGUUUGAUUCCGGAGAUGGAGCCUGAGAAAUAGCUGCAACUUCCAAGGAAGGCAGCAGGCGCGCAAAUUACCCAAUUUUAGCAUAGAGAGGUAGUGACAAGAUGUGGCAUAUUAUAUGCAGCAUCCCGGUAGUAAAAACACUGGGAAUUAAUUAGAGGGAAAGUCUGGUGCCAGCAGCCGCGGUAAUUCCAGCUCUAAUAGUGUAUGUUUUGAUUGCUGCAGUUAAAACGCUCGUAGCCGACAGGUCUAUUAGAAAUAAUAGAAGGACCAUGAGCAAAACAAAGCGCUCAAGGCAGGCAUAAGCCUGAAUGAACAGCAUGGGACCAAAGUAGACAACACACUGGUGGCGUGAGGACUGGUUGGGGAGGGGUGAAAUCCAUAGAUCCAAUCAAGACUAGCAGAGGCGAAGGCGGUCGUCACAGAGUGGUUGGUUGGCAAAGAGCAAAAGUUGAGGGAGCAAAAACGAUUAGAUACCGUUGUAGUCUCAACCGUAAGCGAUGCCGGCGCUUUGUUUGAGGAAAUUAAGCAAAGAGGAGAAAUCUAUGAGCCAGGUUCUGGGGGGAGUAUGGUCACAAGACUGAAACUUGAAAGAAUUGACGGAAGGGCACCACCAGGAGUGGAGCGUGCGGUUUAAUUUGACUCAACACGGGGAAACUUACCAGUCCCGACACUUUUAGGAAUGACAGGCUAAAGGUCUUUCACGAGAAGUGAGUAGUGGUGCAUGGCCGUUCUUUGUUGGUGGAGUUAUUUGUCUGGUUGAUUCCGAUAACGAGCGAGACGGGAGCCUUAUGUUAAACUUAAGGGACUAGUGUUGCAAAACACGGGAAGCCCCGCGAUAACAGGUCUGUGAUGCCCUUGGAUGGUCUGGGCGACACGCGCGCUACACUGCAUGCAGCAACAAGCCUAGUUUGGUUUUAGCAAACCGAAUAAACAAGAGGUGCAUGCGUGGUGAGGAUUAUCCAGUGGAAGAGGAUAUGAAUGAGGAAUUCCUUGUAAGCAUGUGUCAGCAGCACGUGCUGAAUGCGUCCCUGCCCUUUGUACACACCGCCCGUCGCUACUACCGAUGGGUGGUCAAGCUAGAGUGCUGGAUAGCAAGGCAUAGCGAGCUUGGCUGCCUAGAGGAAGUACAAG
rnacentral:rRNA from 1 species